rnacentral:tRNA from 1 species
GUCAAUUUAGUUUAAAAGAGAAUAUUAGUUUUGUAAAUUAAUGGUUGAGUUGGCU